AUGUCGACCGACGCCGACCGUGCCACCGCCGAGAAGGCUGAGGCCGACAAGAAGGCCGUCGAGGAUGCCGCGGUUGCUGCCACCAUCACCACCGCCGUGUGGCCGAUUGGAGGGUAUACAUCGCUUAUCCCUCUCGUGUUUCUUUCUGUUGUAGCAGUACUAGCGAUAUGCGUACAUGUUUCUACUAUGUGCGCAAUACAUGCUCUGUUAGAUUGUAAUCAGUGUGUUAUCAAUGUUGUUCAUGUCAUGCUCAUGAUUUAUUCAUGGAUUAAUUUAAUCGAAAAACUGCCUAUUUAUUCAUCAAUCCAAAAACCUAAUUUGUGUAGGAGUUUUUCGAAUUCCGGUUUUGCUGCUGCACUGAAACCGUCCCCGUUUACGGGGACGUACUUUAAGCAUUGGCAGACUAAAACCACCUUAUGGCUCACGGCCAUGAACGUGUUCUGGGUCGCCGGUGUGACUCCCACAGGAACGAUCGCUCCUGAACAGGAGAAGGCGUUCAAGGAGGCCACUAUCGUGUUCCUCGGGGCGGUUCUAAGCGUGAUUGGAGAUAAGCUGGUUGACGCAUAUUUGCAUAUGCGGUCUGCCAAGGACUUGUGGGAGGCGCUCGAAUCUAAGUUCGGGGCUGCCGAUGCAGGGAGCGAGAUGUAUAUUAUAGAGCAGUUCCACGAUUACAAGAUGGUUGAAAACCGUCCUAUAUUGGAGCAGGCUCAUGAGAUAAUAUGCAUUGUUAAGGAGCUUGAGCUUCUUAAGUGCGAGUUAUCGGGAAAGUUUGUCGCGGGCUGCAUAAUCGCUAAGCUCCUCAAUUCCUGGAGGAACUUUGCCACCACUCUGAAACAUCAGAGGCGUGAAUUCUCUAUGGAGGAUGUCAUUGGCCAUCUGAGUGUUGAGCAGAAUUCAAGGGCAAAGGACUCGCACGGAAAAGGGGUCGAAGGAACUUCUGUGUCCAAUAUGGUACAUCAGAAGAACUCCAAUUCCCACAAGCUCAGGGGAAAGAACGGUGUCCAACAGAAUACCGACUUCAAGAAGAAGGGUAAGAAGACCUUCAAGAAGAACAAGAAGGACGAGGGCUGCUUUACUUGUGGUUCGACUGAACAUUAG
rnacentral:rRNA from 1 species